CUCAGCCCCCGGCCUGAGUCCAGGAAUUCUGCCAGAGCUGUGCAGGGCUGAGGGGGGCAGGGGUUUAUAUGGGGAAACUGAGGCCAGAGAGGCUAAAGUGACGUCGCACAGUCAGCAGUGAAGGACCCGGCAGUGAGGCCAGAACACAGGCCCUCGCGGAUCUGCAUCCAGCAGGCUGCAGGAAAACCCGGGAGUUCACAGUAACUCACACCGAUGACCUGGGGACGGAGCUGCGAGGUGCUGGGAGGAACCUUCAAUCCAGCAGCCCUGGCCAAGCGUGGCUCCCACCACCGCUCCUUGGCCCCCGGAGCCGGAGCUGGACUGGACCAGGCGCGGGCCCCACACCCUCCGGGAUCACGCAUUCACUCUCGCCUCUGGCUGGGGCAGCCCCACCCCAGCUGGUGCCCAAAGCACCUUGGAAAAGCCGCCCGCACUCGGUCCCCAGCACCCAGCCCCACUCUUCGCGAGGUGAGCAGAGAGCGAGGGGGAGCGGAGCGAGCGCAGGGAGCCGGCAGGCUGGCGCGCAGGAGAGAAAUGCAAAUGGUUUUU